rnacentral:rRNA from 1 species
CCCUUAGAUGUUCUGGGCAGCACGCGCGCUACAAUGGUCUUCGCAAACGGAUGCAUUCUCGAAGGAGAAUGCCAAUCUUGGAAUCUAUGCCUUGGUCGGGACAGUUGCUUGCAAUUUUUCGACUCGAACCAGGAAUUCCUUGUAAUCGUGAUUCAUCACAUCACGAUGAAUACGUCCCUGCCCUUUGUACACACCGCCCGUCGCUCCUACCGAUCGAAGAGUUAGGUGAAUUGUUUUGAUCGAUAAGAUUUGACUAUGGUCAACUCUCGUUGUGAAAUUCUGUGAAUCUGACUGUUUAGAUGAAGGAAAAGUCGUAACA